CAUUUUUUGGAAGUAAACAAAUAUUGAAGAAAGUGUUGUGCCUUCACAGAAUUUAAAUUGGCAUUAGGAAUAGAUUUCCUUGAUUUAGUAAUGAUAUUGCUCAUAGAAAUUGAUAAUGUGAAGAAUAACAAUACAGGAACAUAGAAUAACAAGAAAGAAAUUCUAGCAGCAAGUUAGGUUAUGAGAUAAAUUUUAUUUAUAUAGUUUGUUUAAAGAGUUUAGUUUGAAAAAAAGGGACACAGUAAAAAGACAAAACAUUUAGACCCUUUGAAGAGAAAUGUUUGCAAUGGAUAUUAAUAAAUUCUAGCCAAUUUGUACGAUGUACAAUGCAGGCAAUAUUUCUGCCUCCUAACGCACUAUUCGCGUAAAAGAAGAUGUGGGUAUUGUAUUUAUACCUAGGUAGUUAAUGAUACAUGGAAUAUAUUUCUAUAUUAUUGCAAUAACGAUGUCUUUAUGUUGUAUUUUUUUAGAACAGAUUUAUUAUUAGUUGGCUAGUGUGUUAGUAGGAUAGCCAUUGGUAGUUAUAAAGUAUGAAGUCGUCAGGUAUUAAUAAUAGGAAUUGAUCAAAGCUUAUACAUUUAUUGUGAUAUUUAUAUUGUGAAUUUAAGUAGUUAGAGUUUUGGUUGUUUAAUAAACGAAUUAAUGUGCUUA
rnacentral:lncRNA from 1 species